rnacentral:rRNA from 1 species
AAUAUUGCGCAAUGGAGGAAACUCUGACGCAGCGACGCCGCGUGAGCGAUGAAGGUCUUCGGAUCGUAAAGCUCUGUCCUUGGGGAAGAAGAUCGAAAGAUUUGACGGUACCCGAGGAGGAAGCCCCGGCUAACUACGUGCCAGCAGCCGCGGUAAUACGUAGGGGGCGAGCGUUGUCCGGAUUUACUGGGCGUAAAGGGUGAGUAGGCGGUUAUAUAUGUCAGAUGUAAAAGGCUAUGGCUUAACCAUAGUUAGCAUUUGAAACUGUAUGACUUGAGUGCAGGAGAGGUAAGUGGAAUUCCUAGUGUAGCGGUGAAAUGCGUAGAUAUUAGGAGGAACACCAGUGGCGAAGGCGACUUACUGGACUGUAACUGACGCUGAGUCACGAAAGCGUGGGUAGCAAACA